rnacentral:rRNA from 1 species
AAUCCAUAGGUUAAUGAGGCGAACCGGGGGAACUGAAACAUCUAAGUACCCCGAGGAAAAGAAAUCAACCGAGAUUCCCCCAGUAGCGGCGAGCGAACGGGGAGGAGCCCAGAGCCUGAAUCAGCAUGUGUGUUAGUGGAAGCGUCUGGAAAGGCGCGCGAUACAGGGUGACAGCCCCGUACACAAAAGCGCAUGUGCUGUGAGCUCGAUGAGUAGGGCGGGACACGUGGUAUCCUGUCUGAAUAUGGGGGGACCAUCCUCCAAGGCUAAAUACUCCUGACUGACCGAUAGUGAACCAGUACCGUGAGGGAAAGGCGAAAAGAACCCCGGCGAGGGGAGUGAAAAAGAACCUGAAACCGUGUACGUACAAGCAGUGGGAGCACCCUUUGGGGUGUGACUGCGUACCUUUUGUAUAAUGGGUCAGCGACUUAUAUUCUGUAGCAAGGUUAACCGAAUAGGGGAGCCGGAGGGAAACCGAGUCUUAAUUGGGCGUUAAGUUGCAGGGUAUAGACCCGAAACCCGGUGAUCUAGCCAUGGGCAGGUUGAAGGUUGGGUAACACUAACUGGAGGACCGAACCGACUAAUGUUGAAAAAUUAGCGGAUGACCUGUGGCUGGGGGUGAAAGGCCAAUCAAACCGGGAGAUAGCUGGUUCUCCCCGAAAGCUAUUUAGGUAGCGCCUCGUGAAUUCAUCUCCGGGGGUAGAGCACUGUUUCGGCUAGGGGGCCAUCCCGGCUUACCAACCCGAUGCAAACUGCGAAUACCGGAGAAUGUUAUCACGGGAGACACACGGCGGGUGCUAACGUCCGUCGUGAAGAGGGAAACAACCCAGACCGCCAGCUAAGGUCCCAAAGUCAUGGUUAAGUGGGAAACGAUGUGGGAAGGCCCAGACAGCCAGGAUGUUGGCUUAGAAGCAGCCAUCAUUUAAAGAAAGCGUAAUAGCUCACUGGUCGAGUCGGCCUGCGCGGAAGAUGUAACGGGGCUAAACCAUGCACCGAAGCUGCGGCAGCGACGCUGAUGCGUUGUUGGGUAGGGGAGCGUUCUGUAAGCCUGUGAAGGUGGCCUGUGAGGGUUGCUGGAGGUAUCAGAAGUGCGAAUGCUGACAUAAGUAACGAUAAAGCGGGUGAAAAACCCGCUCGCCGGAAGACCAAGGGUUCCUGUCCAACGUUAAUCGGGGCAGGGUGAGUCGACCCCUAAGGCGAGGCCGAAAGGCGUAGUCGAUGGGAAACGGGUUAAUAUUCCCGUACUUGGUGUUACUGCGAAGGGGGGACGGAGAAGGCUAUGUUGGCCGGGCGACGGUUGUCCCGGUUUAAGCGUGUAGGUGUGUGUUCCAGGUAAAUCCGGUUCACUUUAACACUGAGGCGUGAUGACGAGGCACUACGGUGCUGAAGCAACAAAUGCCCUGCUUCCAGGAAAAGCCUCUAAGCAUCAGGUAACAUCAAAUCGUACCCCAAACCGACACAGGUGGUCAGGUAGAGAAUACCAAGGCGCUUGAGAGAACUCGGGUGAAGGAACUAGGCAAAAUGGUGCCGUAACUUCGGGAGAAGGCACGCUGACAUGUAGGUGAAGUGAUUUACUCAUGGAGCUGAAGUCAGUCGAAGAUACCAGCUGGCUGCAACUGUUUAUUAAAAACACAGCACUGUGCAAACACGAAAGUGGACGUAUACGGUGUGACGCCUGCCCGGUGCCGGAAGGUUAAUUGAUGGGGUCAGCGCAAGCGAAGCUCCUGAUCGAAGCCCCGGUAAACGGCGGCCGUAACUAUAACGGUCCUAAGGUAGCGAAAUUCCUUGUCGGGUAAGUUCCGACCUGCACGAAUGGCGUAAUGAUGGCCAGGCUGUCUCCACCCGAGACUCAGUGAAAUUGAACUCGCUGUGAAGAUGCAGUGUACCCGCGGCAAGACGGAAAGACCCCGUGAACCUUUACUAUAGCUUGACACUGAACAUUGAGCCUUGAUGUGUAG